UUAAGUUCUGGACCUGUGGCAUGCCCCUACGUCUGGAACAUCAAACACCUCAAAUCACCCCCUUGACACUUCUGACCAAAAAUAUAGCUCCAUAUCUCCCCCACAUCUGUGCCUGCAAACCAGUGGGUAAAUAGUUUUGUGACAACGAAGAGAAUCGCGAAAGUCUACUCCCAUGCUAACACAUUUCAGGGAGGGUGUUAGACUUUAUUAUCUGAGUACUGCUUACCCAAUCAUCCAGUUGCUUAAAUGAGCAAAUACAUUUAAUUUAAUCAAGUCUCAUUUUCUUCCUAUUGUACUUUCCUCUCCAGAUGACUCACCAUCAUCCCAAACAACAAAAUUGGCAUUCAAAGAUCUGAAGCAUAUCCUGAAUAGGAGAAGAAAAGAAGCAAAACAGGGAAGUUAAGCAUAUUGUCAGAAAGGAAAAAAUACACAGUAAACAAUCACGCAGAUUAUCAUUUGGUCAAGUGAGAUCACGUGACUUCCUUGAUUCCUUGACAUAUUUCACGGACUACCACUUCCUUGAUUGGUUAUGCCAGACAUAUUCCAGAACUAUGUUCCGGACCGAAAUGAAAACAAAGCGAUAACAUUUGUGGCAACACAAGAAGGUUGAUGUGGACACAUACCAAAUAUCGUUGCGUGGUGUUUGAAAAAUCUGAUGAAAAUAAGGAUAAUAUUGUUAAAAUGGUUCAACAUUUUAUGCAUUGUAAGGGAUUACAAUGACCUGGGAGUGAAUGAGAACAUUUUGCAAAACUCUUUACUUGUGUACAUGGUCAUUGUCAUUUACAUGUUGGUAUCAAAAUAUAAUUUUCACAAACAAAAUUACCCUCCAGAGCUCAGUGAUCAUGGGGACCCACAAAAAGUGCAAAUGAAGCCUAGUCAGUUUUGGAUCAUAGGGCCCAUAUUAUCUAGGCAUGAAUUUGAAAUUUUGUCUUUGUUUAUGCUAUCACAAAUGUUAAUGAAUUAAUUACAAUAAAUUAUCAUUUAUUCUCGAGACUAUGCAUAAUAAUA